rnacentral:rRNA from 1 species
GGAUUAGAUACCCUGGUAGUCCUUGCCGUAAACGAUGCAUACUUGGUGUAGUUGGACUCAACCCCGGCUGUGCCGUAGCUAACGUGUUAAGUAUGCCACCUGAGGAGUACACUCGCAAGGGUGAAACUCAAAAGAAUUGACGGGGGCCCGCACAAGCAGUGGAGCAUGUGGUUUAAUUCGAUGCUACGCGAAGAACCUUACCCAGACUUGACAUAUAGAGGAUCGCAUCAGAGAUAGUGCUUCCGCAAGGCCUCUAUACAGGUGCUGCAUGGCUGUCGUCAGCUCGUGCCG